UUUGAAGAAGAGUUGAAGUAAAGGUUAAAGUCUGGUAAUUUGUAUUUUUUUAUCAAUGAAAAAAAAAAAAAAAAAAAAAAAAAAAAA
rnacentral:ribozyme from 9 species